rnacentral:rRNA from 1 species
UGGGGAAUUUUGCACAAUGGGGGAAACCCUGAUGCAGCGACGCCGCGUGAUUUAGAAGGCCUUCGGGUUGUAAAAAUCUUUUCUAUGGGAAGAAAAUGACAGUACCAUAGGAAUAAGGACCGGCUAAUUACGUGCCAGCAGCCGCGGUAAUACGUAAGGUCCGAGCGUUGUCCGGAAUCAUUGGGCGUAAAGGGUACGUAGGCGGGUAAGCAAGUUAGAAGAGAAAUCCUAUAGCUCAACUAUAGUAAGCUUUUAAAACUGCUCAUCUUGAGGUAUGGAAGGGAAAGUGGAAUUCCUAGUGUAGCGGUGAAAUGCGCAGAUAUUAGGAGGAAUACCGGUGGCGAAGGCGACUUUCUGGCCAUAACCUGACGCUGAGGUACGAAAGCGUGGGUAGCAAACAGG